GUCCAGGAUGAAACCUAAUCUGA
rnacentral:piRNA from 1 species